rnacentral:rRNA from 1 species
AGCGAACGCUGGCGGCAGGCCUAACACAUGCAAGUCGAACGAACUCUUCGGAGUUAGUGGCGGACGGGUGAGUAACACGUGGGAACGUGCCUUUAGGUUCGGAAUAACUCAGGGAAACUUGUGCUAAUACCGAAUGUGCCCUUCGGGGGAAAGAUUUAUCGCCUUUAGAGCGGCCCGCGUCUGAUUAGCUAGUUGGUGAGGUAAAGGCUCACCAAGGCGACGAUCAGUAGCUGGUCUGAGAGGAUGAUCAGCCACAUUGGGACUGGGACACGGCCCAAACUCCUACGGGAGGCAGCAGUGGGGAAUCUUGCGCAAUGGGCGAAAGCCUGACGCAGCCAUGCCGCGUGAAUGAUGAAGGUCUUAGGAUUGUAAAAUUCUUUCACCGGGGACGAUAAUGACGGUACCCGGAGAAGAAGCCCCGGCUAACUUCGUGCCAGCCGCCGCGGUAAUAC